rnacentral:lncRNA from 1 species
ACCCAGGACUUCAUUGCCUGAGUUAAGGACCAGAUGUGCUACUAGAAAAAACUAUGUACUUGGAAUGCUACAGCUGUGAGAGAUCAGUAGGAUCCUUUUCUUGGGACUGGUCAGAAAGUUUAACUAGGAGAAGAUCAGCAGAUACACUACUCAAAUCAGGUGCAAUUUCUGUCUCCACAUAGAUCCAGGCCCACGGUUUGGUGAUCCUGUUUUUUAUUGUGGUACAGAUUAGUCCACCUGUGCCCAAGCCAGCUCAAUCAGAACUACCAAUUGUCUCAGUAUCCCAGUUAUGCCCUCUUUACCAGACAGAAGCAGAAAGCUGUCUGCUGGUCUCAAAUCUUCAUCAACUUCACCAAAGCAUGAGCCUCAGCCACAUCUUUACCUUGGCUAUCCAACAUGCUAAAAUCCCAGAUGAAUCACUGAGAAUCGGGUGCCAUGGCUGGCUUAUGUCAAUCUAAGCAUGAGCUGCUGUCAAGAGGAGCAGCCCUGCCUGCUCCUGCCUGCUCCCAUCACCUCUCCAGUACCAAUACUGGUGCCUGUCUGUGUGCACAGCCAGCUUCACCACUGAGCUGGUUCAACCCACUCUACGGCCACAUGAUUAUCAGUGCCAAAACACAUUGAGGAGCACCAGCUUGAGGACCGAAAGGGAAGCCUGUAGCAGACUGACAUAUUUUGUUCAAGCACCCUACACAAUAAAUAUGUGUGCAGAGUUAAGUCUGGUACAUCCUGAUCCCACUGGUGACACUGUGCAUAGUCUGGACAACCCACUCAGCUCUUGCACAGGUGGUCCAAAACACCUCAUGUGUCAGACAUGAAGGACACUUGCUGUGAAGUCCAUCUCUGUGUGACCACUAAGACCACUGAAUAUACAGAGACUGUACUGGACAUGUCUGACCACUCAGCAGGAUGUGAUGUGCCCAUUGCUCCCAAGACACAGCAGGAUCUCUCAUUUAUCUAUGGGAAUGGUGGCUCCUCCUAGGACAACACCACCUCCACCCAUAAUUCUGCCUUCAGCAUCCCAAAUUUCCCACCUGUAGUUGACUGUCCAUUCUCAGGAUUGUCCUGAAAGCAAUUGCUGUGCCAUCAGGUGAGUCAGACACAGAUGAGUCAGCUGUAAAUGUUAUCUGAGACAGGGAAGAGAGAUUACUUUGACUACAGAGGUUUUUAAUCUGACAACAAAGCCUUCCAUACAUCUAGAAGUUGAAACUACUCAAAUAAAUAUGACAAAAAUGCGUAAGUAGGAGGGACAUUUAUUGUUAGUACAUAGCAAGCUGCCUCCAUUUCAAGUUUUGAAUCAAGAUUUUCAGCAAAGCAACAUUUGGCCUUGAUCGAGGCAUUUCUGAGUACAGAGACUGUGUAUGUAAAACCCACACAGCCCUGAAAGACAGGCUUGAGCAAAUCUUCCUGCUGUUAUUCAAUGAGGAAUUGCCCCUAAUUCUUCCCUGGACCUCCCUGCCAGGACUUGGUGAGACUAUCAUGCGGCUCACAGAAGGAAGUUUGCCACUUACAUUUAAAAAGUCAUGAUUGUUAGAAACUGGCAAUUAGGAUGAGUAUACAGGGUCAUGUAGUGACUCCUCUGAGAGCAUUAACAUCUGCAGAGAAGUUGGGAAGGAGGGGAAGAGUCACAAGUCAGGAGGGAGGAGUCAUGAUUUGGGAAAAACAACUUAAACUGAAGGAAGGGGACUUACUUAAUUUAAUUUACCAGAGCCCUCUAGACAGCUCACAAAGCAGCCUGGCUUCCAGCUGAUGUAAUAUAUGUUAUGCAAAUGUAGUAUAAUUAACAUUAUUUGACUGUAAAAAAAAAUUUCCAAGUUUCAUUAGGCUUAUAAGGGAAAAAUAAAACUAUUUUAGAUUAAUAUGCAUUGUGGAUUCAGAGCUAAUGUUUGCCAUGGCAAGUUAUUUAUGUAUAAAUGCUAGUAAAAUUAUUUGAAGGAGGCAGGAGAAGCAAACAACCUUCAGCCAAAUGUGAAGCACGUGCACUGCGCUGAGUACCAUGCUUCCCUCAAUGUGUUCUGCAUUCCUUCAGUUUCCAUUUUAUCAAAGCUUGAUUGAACUCAAGGCUCACAAGAAACAUGGGAUUGAGUCCCAGCAAAAGGAUAUUUUCCCCUUGUUUUCCUGUGCCGUAUACAAACAGGAGAAGUGAAAACAAUUAAAACCAAGCUGCGCCCGUUUGCUCUGCACAAUUUCCUGAAAUUUCUUCUGAGCCAGAUAAACCAGGCUACAGAAAAACAGAGGUCAAGGUUAAAAUGGCAUCUGCUAGGAUGCUGUGGAAUUUAGGAACAGUCAUAUUUUCACACCAUCUGCUUUUUUAUGAUAAAGUACUUCGCGACCCGGGUGUAUAAUAAGAUAUAAUGGGAAAAUUUAAGAUGAAUAUCCUUCUAGCCUUCACUAAUCUCACCAGAGAAGCAACAGAAGUCUUGUUUUAAACUAAGGAAGGACAAAGAGCACUGAAAGCUGCAUGGGAAAUGGCCCAGAACUGCAGAGGAUUUGGACAAGGAGCUUUCAGGGCUGCAGGAGGAGGCCUGGCUGGGGACAGCAGACCCGGCCACUUUGUCACUGCCCUGGGGCAGCAGCCAACCUUCACCCAGAGCAGCACAUGUGCCAGUGCCCGACCUUCACCCAGAGCAGCACAUGUGUCAGUGCCCGACCUUCACCCAGAGCAGCACAUGUGUCACACAUGUGUCAGUGCCCGACCUUCACCCAGAGCAGCACAUGUGUCACACAUGUGUCAGUGCCCGACCAUCACCCAGAGCAGCACAUGUGUCACACGUGUCAGUGCCCGACCUUCACCCAGAGCACCACAUGUGUCACACAUGUGUCAGUGCCUGACCUUCACCCAGAGCACCACAUGUGUCACACAUGUGCCAGUGCCUGACCUUCACCCAGAGCAGCACAUGUGUCACACAUGUGUCAGUGCCCGACCUUCACCCAGAGCACCACAUGUGUCACACAUGUGCCAGUGCCUGACCUUCACCCAGAGCAGCACAUGUGUCACACAUGUGUCAGUGCCUGACCUUCACCCAGAGCAGCACAUGUGUCAGUGCCCGACCUUCACCCAGAGCAGCACAUGUGUCACACAUGUGUCAGUGCCCGACCUUCACCCAGAGCAGCACAUGUGUCAGUGCCCAACCUUCACCCUGAGCAGCACAUGUGUCACACAUGUGUCAGUGCCCGACCAUCACCCAGAGCAGCACAUGUGUCACACAUGUGCCAGUGCCCGACCAUCACCCAGAGCAACACAUGUGUCAGUGCCCGACCUUCUCCCAGAGCAUCACAUGUGUCAGUGCCCAACCUUCACCCAGAGCAGCACAUGUGUCACACAUGUGUCAGUGCCCAACCUUCACCCAGAGCAGCACAUGUGUCACACAUGUUCCACUGCCCGACCUUCACCCAGAGCAGCACAUGUGUCACACGUGUCAGUGCCCGACCUUCACCCAGAGCAGCACAUGUGUCAGCGCCCGCCAGACCGGCCCUCCCGCUCGCAUGAACCAGUUCAGACUGCCUGCUUGGAAUAAACCGCAGGAACUUUCCUGGAGGGGAUUAGCGAGUGCCUGCAGUGCCUGCCCAGACCUGAUCGCAGAUCUGAGGGCAUCCCUGGCAUCGCAGCUGCAGUGAACAGCUGAGAAGGGCUC